rnacentral:lncRNA from 1 species
AAAGCGCUCUGUCACGCUCUUUGGUCGCGCUUUGAGGCCUUCUGGGAGCGAAGCUACUCCGAGGUUGACGGCAGAAGGGAAAAGAACAGUACAGUACUGCAUGGGGACGGUUCUUUUGCGACAGUGAGCACUUGAUGGCAGCGUGGCAAGCAACAAACAAAACAAGAAAGUCAGCAAAAAAACCCCCUCCAAAAACCAAAAAAAAACCCAAAUUGGUGUGAGGCAUGACGCACAUGCGCUUGGGUAGCUGAAGGGUGAGGGUGCCAUCUAUUCACAGAGACAGGGAACACGGGAGGAGGUGCAGUUCUUAGGGGGAUGGUGGUGGGACCCGUGUUGGACGUGUUGCAUUUGCAGCGUCUGUGGAGUGUGCAGGAUGCUUGCUGUACUCUUGGCUGCACAGGGGUGAAGCUCAGGGACAAGUCUGGGCUGGAGACUCAGCGUGUGGUUGGCAACCAAAGCCACGGGAGU